CGACAAAGGCAAACCCGUCGUGAGGCGGGGACGCAAAGCCAGGGGUCUCCGGUUGGGAGACAGCCCAGCCGCCGA
rnacentral:ncRNA from 1 species